rfam:Trichobilharzia regenti genome assembly, scaffold: TRE_contig0014454
AUUCAGAUGACGAGUCCCAAAUGGGACGAAAUGGGCGUCCUGGAU